rnacentral:rRNA from 1 species
CCUACGGGAGGCAGCAGUGGGGAAUAUUGCACAAUGGGGGAAACCCUGAUGCAGCGACGCCGCGUGAGUGAAGAAGUAUUUCGGUAUGUAAAGCUCUAUCAGCACGGAGGAAAAUGACGGUACCUGAUUCAGAAGCCCCGGCUAACUACGUGCCAGCAGCCGCGGUAAUACGGAGGGGGCAAGCGUUAUCCGGAUUUCCUGGGUGUAAAGGGAGCGUAGACGGCAGGACAAGUCUGGAGUGAAAUGCCGGGGCUUAACCCCGGAACUGCUUUUGAAACUGUGCAGCUAGAGUGCAGGUGAGGUAAGUGGAAUGUCUGGUGUAGCGGUGAAAUGCGUAGAGAUGAGGAAGAACACCAGUGGCGAAGGCGGCUUACUGGACUGUAACUGACGUUGAGGCUCGAAAGCGUGGGGAGCAAACAGGAUUAGAUACCCGGGUAGUC